AACCAAGCUUUUAGUCAGCUUUUUUGUUGUACUAUCUGCUGCUGUGUACAGAUAAACUAACCUUUGGAGCUGGAACUAAACUGACCGUUACUCCAAGAGACCAGAAUCCAACAAAUCCUCAGCUGAAUAUUACCGUAAUAAAAACCAAAAACAAUAAUAAGGCAGCAGUGUGUCUGGCUUCAGAUUUCUAUGACUCCUCAAAGACCUUGACAUUAACUUCGGAAGGCAAGGAUCUGUUAAAGGCUAACAUGGAAAAUACAACGUUGUCCUUAACCAAGAAGUUAUAUAGUUUUGCUGGUGUUAAGGAAAUAAAUUCAAUGAAAGAACUGACUUGUAAUGUGGAUGGACAAACGGUAUCUUACAAGGAAAAUACGGAAUCAAAUCCAUCAACCAUCAAUGCUGCACCACGUAACAAAACCUGCAAUUCAACUGAUGCAUGGAAGCAGCCUGAAUCACAUGAUUUAACAAAGAUUAAUUUUCUGUCUCUGACUGUAAAUGGACUAAGAGUGCUGUUAGCAAAGUGUGUGGCUUUUAAUCUACUGAUGACAGCCAGAGCCACCAUAUUCUAAAAGCAAGAAUGGCAAAAUCUGUAUAAGGAGAGCUACUGUUUUUGAUGUCAAUUUUUCUUUUUUUUUUUUUUUGCUUUUAGAAUAUUUUGUUUUUUAUUUUAUGUAUAUUUUGCUUAUUUCAGUAUUCAUAAUCAAAAUAAGCUUGAAUUUUAAUUAAAGAAAUAUUAUGGCAAAAUCAUAUUUUAAAACACUUCUGUAACGCAUAAAUAUCAUUGCUGACUGAAGUUUAGAUGCUAAGAAUAAAUUGAAUUGAAAGCUCAUACAGAAAAAUGCUCUGUUGUUCAUUCACACCAUUAAUUAAUUGUUAUCCAUUUGGCUAUUUUAUAUAUUCUUCACAGAAUAACAAAAUAAAAAUAUACUGUAUGUUUAAUAUCUUAAAACGGACUUUUAUUUCACAUGUAACAAUUCACAUCU